GUGUCAGCAGCCGCGGUAAUACGAAGGGGGCUAGCGUUGUUCGGAAUUACUGGGCGUAAAGCGUAUGCAGGCGGAUCGUUAAGUCGGGGGUGAAAUCCCGAGGCUCAACCUCGGAACUGCCUUCGAUACUGGCGAUCUUCGAGUCCGGGAGAGGUGAGUGGAACUCCGAGUGUAGAGGUGAAAUUCGUAGAUAUUCGGAAGAACACCAGUGGCGAAGGCGGCUCACUGGCCCGGUACUGACGCUGAGAUACGAAAGCGUGGGGAGCAAACAGGAUUAGAAACCCCAGUAGUCC
rnacentral:rRNA from 1 species